CCAAAACACAGACCAGAAAGACAGUUAAAUUAGUCCAUCUUGAUGGUAUUAAGGCUCCUGCCAUUUUUCUGUCAUCAUUACAACUUCCAUUUCUGGUCAAAUUGAUCUAAUAUAGUCCUUUAGUAUAAAUAUAUUCACAAACAUCUGUUGUUCUCUUUUUAAUCUCCCCAAAGAAAGAAGUUAGUGCAUUAUUCAUUGAUAGGAUCAAAACAAUAUAAGAUGAUCCAGUUCCAACCUCUCUUCUGCAGGUGGGAGCUGGCCUGGGGCCAGGUGGAAAGGUGUCCGUGGAUGCCGGCAAGGGCGGCGAUCCUGGCCUGCUGCGCAUGCGGGCACUUUGGCCGGAAGAGGACCUCUCCCCCUCCCUCUCCAUUCCCAACUGCCAGUGCCCUGCUGAGGGGAGGGACAGCCAAGGCACCCCUGCUGGGAGCUCCCAGACCCGCUGCGGCGAGGGGAGGGGCGUGGCGUCCCCACCCCGCACCCCCCACCCAGACAGCUGAGCUGCAGCAGCGGCUCCAGACCUCCCGCCAGGCUAGGCGCUGGGCCUCUCAGGCUCCAGAGGCCAAGACGGGUGCGAGCAGAUGCUGGCCCUCUCCUGGGGGUCCCGAAGCGCCCAGACUCCACAGGCUUCGAGCUACACCUGAGCCAGGAAUUCAGGGAAGAUAAUGAUGUGGACUCUAAGCUCCUGGCUUUGACAUGACUCAGGCCAGCGAUGGACCACCCAGGUAAAAGCAGCUCCCAGAUUUCUCUGGGUCUGAGCAUCAAACCAGUGGCUCACAUGGUACACUUUUAAGUGACACCACGUGGAUCCCAGUAGAUGAGGCUGU
rnacentral:lncRNA from 1 species